GUCUACGGCCAUACCACCCUGAACGCGCCCGAUCUCGUCUGAUCUCAGAAGCUAAGCAGGGUCGGGCCUGGUUACUACUUGGAAGGGAGACA
ensembl:rRNA 5S_rRNA 5S ribosomal RNA